rnacentral:pre_miRNA from 1 species
AUCACCUAGGGGUCACGUUAAAAUGCAGAAUCCAACUCAGUAGAUCUGUGGUGGGGGCCCAGAUUCUGCAUUUCUAACAAGCUCUCAGGUGGUGCUGA